CCUACGGGCGGCAGCAGUGAGGAAUAUUGGUCAAUGGUCGGGAGACUGAACCAGCCAAGCCGCGUGAGGGAUGAAGGUACAGAGUAUCGUAAACCUCUUCUGUCAGGGAACAAAGGCGGGGACGUGUCCCCGGAUGAGUGUACCUGUAGAAAAAGCAUCGGCUAACUCCGGGCCAGCAGCCGCGGUAAUACGGAGGAUGCGAGCGUUAUCCGGAUUUAUGGGGUUAAAGGGGUGCGCAGGCGGUCUGUUAAGUCAGCGGUCAAAGCCCGGGGCUCAACCCCGGCCCGCCGUUGAAACUGGCAGUCUCGAGUUGGAGAGAGGUAUGCGGAAUGAGCGGUGUAGCGGUGAAAUGCAUAGAUAUCGCGCAGAACUCCGGUUGCGAAGGCAGCAUGCCGGCUCCACACUGACGCUGAGGCACGAAAGCGUGGGUAUCGAACAGGAUUAGAUACCCGAGUAGUC
rnacentral:rRNA from 1 species